AUUGAACGCUGGCGGCAGGCCUAACACAUGCAAGUCGAGCGGAGCGGCGGACGGGUGAGUAAUGCCUAGGAAUCAGACUGGGAGUGGGGGAUAACGUCCGGAAAAGGGCGCUAAUACCGAAUACUAUGAGAUGAGCCUAGGUCGGAUUAGCUAGUUGGUGGGGUAAAGGCCUACCAAGGCGAAGAUCCGUAACUGGUCAGAGAGGAUGAUCAGUCACACUGGAACGGAGACACGGUCCAGACUCCUACGGGAGGCAGCAUUGGGGAAUAUUGGACAAUGGGCGAAAGCCUGAUCCAGCCAUGCCGCGUGUGUGAAGAAGGUCUUCGGAUUGUAAAGCACUUUAAGUUGGGAGGCGUUACCAACAGAAUAAGCACCGGCUAACUUCGUGCCAGCCGCCGCGGUAAUAC
rnacentral:rRNA from 1 species